rnacentral:misc_RNA from 1 species
AAAAAAUAAAUCAAUAAAAAAAAGGAUAUACAUUUUGGGCGAAAUGUGCAAGUUUUGUAUGUGGCUGGCUUGUACAUUUGUUGUACUGUUAAUGAUCUUCGUUACGCUUCAAUUUGUUGGUGUUAUUGAGCAUAAAGAAAAUGAAGAUGUUAUGGGAGAAUUCUUCAAGUAUAUAUCAAGUGCUAUGAAAGGAAAUAUAUAAUUUUUAUUCUUAAUUAAAUUAGUACAUU